CAGUAGCCGCGGGAAUACGAAGGGGGUUAGCGUUGCUCGGAAUGACUGGGCGUAAAGGGCGCGUAGGCGGCUUGUAUAGUCAGAUGUGAAAUUCCUGGGCUCAACCUGGGGACUGCAUUUGAUACGUGCAGGCUUGAGUGUGGAAGAGGGUCGUGGAAUUCCCAGUGUAGAGGUGAAAUUCGUAGAUAUUGGGAAGAACACCAGUGGCGAAGGCGGCUCACUGGACGCAUAUUGACGCUGAGGUGCGGAAGCGUGGGGAGCAAACAGGAUUAGAUACCCCCGUAGUCCCUGUCUCUUAUAC
rnacentral:rRNA from 1 species